UGCGCAGGCGGUUAUGUAAGACAGAUGUGAAAUCCCCGGGCUCAACCUGGGAACUGCAUUUGUGACUGCAUGACUAGAGUACGGUAGAGGGGGAUGGAAUUCCGCGUGUAGCAGUGAAAUGCGUAGAUAUGCGGAGGAACACCGAUGGCGAAGGCAAUCCCCUGGACCUGUACUGACGCUCAUGCACGAAAGCGUGGGGAGCAAACA
rnacentral:rRNA from 1 species